GGUGAGAUGGCCGAGUGGUUAUGGCGCUGCGUUCAGGUAAACCCUGUUCACAAAUUUCGCAGUGGAGCAAUCCGCGUGGGUUCGAGUCCCACUCUCAUCA